ensembl:lncRNA UBR5-DT UBR5 divergent transcript
AAAAUAAAAAAUUAGCCAGGCGUGGUGGUGCAAGCGUGUAAUCCCAGCUACUCGGGAGGCUGAGGCAGAACAAUCGCUUGAACCUGGGAGGCGGAAGUUGUGGUGAGCUGAGAUUGUGCCACUGCCCUCCAGCCUGGGCAACAAGAGCGAAACUCCGUCUCAAAAAAAAAAAUUUACUUGGUCCUUCUAGCCCUUUUAAUCUAAAAGUGGAACUCUCAUGUGUUCCAUUAUUUUUGUGUAUGUUCAAUACAUAUAUGUUCCAUUCAUCCUAUUUUUAACAUGCCUCACAGUGUAAUUAUUUAUUAUUUAUACUUAAUACAUCUUACAAAUUUCAUUAUGUCUAACAAGCCAUUUGCUCCCAUACUUAGUUUCUCUCAAUUUCUGUGGCAGAAUUGAAUAUUCUUAAAUGACACAGCAAAAACAUCACAGUACUCAGAAUAGUGUAGGCAGUGUGAGUUUCCCCCAGGAUGUUCAAAGUUAUUGGAAGAGCAAAUGGAAAAAAAUAACACGCGUAACUGAAAGAUCUCAAGGAGUAAGAGGAUUCUGCAUCUUCAUAUGGACUUUAUGGCAUAUUGUAUUUUCCAAAAAUGGCCACAACAAUAUUUCUGGUACCAUAUGCUGUUCCAGAACUUGGAUACACCUCCCCUUAAAAGGUGGUGUCUAAUGCACUUCCCUUUGCAUAUAGGCCAUCAAUAUUAACUUUUGUUUGUUUGUUUGUUUGUUUGUUUGUUUGAGACAGAGUCUCGCUCGGGCACCAGGCUGGAGUGCAGUGGCACGGUCUCGGCUUACUACAACCUCCGCCUUCCGGAUUCAAGUGAUUCUGCUGCCUCAGCCUCCCGAAUAGCUGGGAUUACAGUGUUUCAGAAUCACCUGGGAUGAUCUGCAUGAAGAUUCCUGGCCUCCACCAAAGACUUACUGAAUCAGAAAGGAGGCAAGAGGAUGAGGAAUGCUUAAGAAUCUGCAUUAACAAACUUUACAAAUGAAUCUUACAACAUACAGAAGCAUGGAAACUACUGCCUCAAGGGAUUAUCUCAACUUGAGUUUAAACAUAGGAAUUGCUGACUACCUUUAAAAUGUAAAAAUAGUAUCUUUAUGGGAGGGAUGUUGUUUGGGGGCAGCUACUAAAUAGUGAAAUCAUUCCUUUAAAAUACCCUCUCAAGUCUGCCCCAGUUAUCCAUUUUACUGGAUAGUCUUGGUAUCCAGAUGAUUUAGGGAAAAAAAUAGUAGUAGCAAACUCUGAAAACACUCAGUAAAGUUCAUUCUUGGUCUUCUCUUCCUAAAUUUGUUUUCAAUUGUUAGAUUUAAACACUAAACAAGACCAAAAGAGAACUUUAUUUUACAUGUCUUUAUUUUACAUUUAGAACCGUUUUAUGAUUUACUUAAAAAAAAAAUCUUUUACUAUUAUUAGAAGUAUUUUUUAACCAAAAUCUUGAUUUAGGAAGACUUAAGACAUUGUGCAUUAUUUUAAAUAUUUUCAUUUCAGUAACUAUUAAAAAUAAAUUCACAAUUAGGGUUUCAAAUGUCCUAAUCAUAUCUAGUUUGUUCUCAUUUAAUAUUUUAUCAAUCCCAUCAUGUGCAUACAGAGGUUAAGGUGAUGUAUAAAUUUUAUAUCUUUCAAACACAUUGAUGCUAAUCAGCUCUUGAUCUAAUUACUAUUUCAUUUAUUCAGAAAUAGCAUUUAGACAUAAAAACCAAUGUCUCACUUUGUAAAAUAACCUUUGGCUAAUUUACACACAUCUAAUACAGCGUGUUAUAUAAGUUUUAAGUAAUACAAUGAGUCACUACUAUCAUUCAGUUUUAAAUAUUUUUAGUGUUAACAGGGCUGAGAAUAUCAUGUGGUUCAGUCUUCUGAAGGAAGUUAUAUAAUAAAAGCAUAGUGCCUUUGAACAUGAAGACUAUCCUCAAGGCCAGAAAUCCUACAAAGGAACUGAAAGGAGAGAUUCCAGAGAAUUGCUCUCCUCAUUUUUAAUAUGUAAAGUGACUGUUUUAAGUCACUUCAUUGAAGACUUAAGGAAGAAAACAGUGUUAUUAUGCCACUGAAUAAAGCUACUUAAACCAGAGUAAUUUUGGGAUAUUAAUCCUAGGCUACAUAAUUAAUAGGUCAUCAAAACAAAAACCUGUCAGUUAUUAGGUGUAAGUUAACUUCCUAUGCCAAGUAAGGGGUCACACUUCACUUCCCCCAUUUGUAAAAUGAAAAGGUGGCCAGGCCAGUGCCAUUUAGGAUUCUCUGCUAACUGUAAAAUGUGGACUGAUUUUCUUCUGUUUCUUAUAGUCCAGGUGUAUAUAAACUUCCAGUUCUUUAAGUCAAAAUUUUUAUGCACAUAACCAUGUCAGUGUAUUGCCCUUAGUUUAAA